GGAAUAGACUUUUAUCAUAGGAAUUAAGGGACAACUGCUGCAGAAGAUUUAUUAUUGUAACGUGGUACUGCCUGCAAAGCAGUGGGAAGAUCAAACAGCCAGCUGCUCAACAUUGGUCACUGCCUUCAGAGAACGAUGAACACAUCGGCACGGCUGAGCGCUGCUGUAGAUCACCCAGCACACACAGAGGACUUACUUGUGUAACCGAUUUGUGUAACCCAGGCCAGAGGAGAUCCUGCACUCCAGCCGCAUACCCAUCUCAGCAGCAGCAGCACAUCCUUUGCCAUGGAGGACAGCUGAUUUUUGUGGUCACCAGGGGAUGGGGAUGCAUGGCAGCAGUUGCAACAGCACAGCCACAUGCAUCUGCUCCAUGGCUGUGGCUUGCUUAUGAGUGAGAUGCACUCUCAGAUACAAGGGGCAGCAGUGGCAGGAUCACUGGGGAAGGGUAAGUGGGGGUGGGGAGCUGAGCAGUUUUUUGUGGCUGCAGUCCCGCAUCAUCUGGUUGUGUGAAGGGCCCUUCAAAAAGAGUGGCAGGUUGCGAGCAACAAGCCUGUGGUUUUCCUGCUGGAACAGGCUUUGGGUCACUUUUUGCACGACAUGAAAGAACAGCUUUAUUCAGAAGCUUUAUAAAGAGCAGUUUGUAUCACAUUUUGAGGAGUAAUAAGGUCUACAACACAGCCUUGCAUGAAAAAACAGACACGGUGCCAACAAGCAACCCCCAGCAACUCAUUCAGGUCUGACAUCGGUGUGGCAAUGGAGCAAUUGGCAUGAGCUGAUUUAUCUCAUUUCUCAGCUAUGACACCACAUAGCAGUCUCCCUGUUGGUUGGUUCGUUGGUUGCUUUUCUGGGGGAGGUUGUUUUCUUAAGUGUGUUAUAGCCUUCAGAUGAAACAAUGGACUUAUUGGUGAUAAAAGCAGAAUAUGUUCCACAGGCUCUAAAUUAAGAAUUACGUUGCUGUAGAGAACUUACUAAAGGCAGUGAUGCUUUUGUGAACACACUGAAUAUUUGUAAAAUUCCUUCUGUUCCUCAGGGAUGCUCUACAAACAUUAAAACCAGCUCAUCCUGCAGGCCAGCCUUCUUCGAGUCUUACGCCAAAACAUUAAUAAAUGAUUUUAAGUAAUGCUGGGCUUGGCUGAGACAGCAAGGCAGUUCGUUCUUCAACAGUAUAAAAUUUAUAUUUGCAU
rnacentral:lncRNA from 7 species